AGUGGAAAAGAUAUUAAUAAUGUCAUUACACAAUGCGGCCUCAAUUCCGAAGUUGCGCAAUGACGUCGUGCGUGACCUGCCGGAGGUUUCCAGGGCAACUUGAAUUGUUUUAGGAUUACGGCGUGCACGCGGAACUAUUCAGUCGCUUUAUUACAUUGGAUAAAUCAUUCUUUUGUAACGAUCUUGCUUUUAAUCUUCAAAAGACAGUUCACAACAGUAACAUGUCUUCAACUUCAGUGUUUUGGGAAUGAAUUGGGAAAAACCAAGCACACAUGUUUGUGAGCACAUUAAAUGUAAGGACCUCCAAAUGAUGCUCCACUGUCGAGAGGUUCACAGCUUUCUGAGACCUCUUUCACAACUCUGCCACAUGGAUGUCAGUUUUGACAGGGUGACAGACAGGUCUAAAGAGGUGAAAUCAGCGUUUUCAACUUAUAAGAAGAAUAAAAGCGCUCCAACCUCUUUGACACAGUUGUGCAAACAACUGGAGGAGAGAAUCACCCAGAAAUCGCAGCAUUACU